rnacentral:tRNA from 1 species
AAAGUUUUAGUUUAAGUUAAAAAUUUUUUAUUUACAAUAAAAAGAUUAAUAUUUUUAAAACUUUA